rnacentral:rRNA from 1 species
UGGGGAAUAUUGGACAAUGGGGGAAACCCUGAUCUAGCCAUCCCGCGUGUGCGAUGAAGGCCUUCGGGUUGUAAAGCACUUUUGGCAGGAAAGAAACGUCAUGGGUUAAUACCCCGUGAAACUGACGGUACCUGCAGAAUAAGCACCGGCUAACUACGUGCCAGCAGCCGCGGUAAUACGUAGGGUGCAAGCGUUAAUCGGAAUUACUGGGCGUAAAGCGUGCGCAGGCGGUUCGGAAAGAAAGAUGUGAAAUCCCAGAGCUCAACUUUGGAACUACAUUUUUAACUACCGGGCUAGAGUGUGUCAGAGGGAGGUGGAAUUCCGCGUGUAGCAGUGAAGUGCGUAGAUAUGCGGAGGAACACCGAUGGCGAAGGCAGCCUCCUGGGAUAACACUGACGCUCAUGCACGAAAGCGUGGGGAGCAAACAGG